UGUCCUCCGAGGGAGUGGCUCAAGUCAUCAGCUGUCAGUCAUAUCAGCCUUCUGUGGUCUGGAAUCCAGAUGUGGCAGAGUUCAGAGUUCUCCAGAUGUGGCCUUCAAGAAGGAUCUUUCUAUUGGUGAAGAACUUGACAAGAGACUGGGAAUUGUGUCAACUGAUGGCUCUCUAGAAGAGCAAGAAAUUAAAACAACAACAACAAAACCUGUAGUACUGUUAAGGUGUUAUGUGGUAUUCUUACAUCUUGAAUCAUGCCUUCAAUACUAAAGCCAAGGUUUGCUAUGUAUUUGCAUACCUGCACUUAGAAAGAGCCACACCUGUAAGUCAGAUGUGUUGGUUUUGAUCUUCACAAGUUUACAUCUGCAGAUGGUUGAACUUUGGAGAUUGUGAUUCAAGGCCUCGUGAAUGCCUUCAAUGGGUUCUAGAACAAAAAGUAUAACUAACCUUUGCUUUAUUAAUUCAAUUAGGAUGUCCAAUUAGUCAAGGCAGGAGCAGGCUUAAGUUUCUUGAACCAGGAUUGCCUCGACUUUUUCGAACUUGCUCCCUUAUCUUGCUUAUUAUAAAUGUGUCCCUUGUCAGCCCCAGACCCCCACCCCUGUCUCUCCCCCAUCCCCAACCUUUAGUUUUCUCAUUUCUCUGUACUUUCUGCUCCUUUUACAUGUAAGGAAAUGUAUCUCAGAUAUACUCAUCUCCACCUUUGCCGUGUGCCAGAGGAUGCACCCAGAGCAGGGGUCAGUUGAACCUCUUCAAGGUUCGGCAGCUCUACCACCAGCUCCUGGGUCUGUCGGCUCAAGCCUCAGCCUUCCCAGCCUCCCAGGGGCCUGGAAAGAGGAAAAGAAGGGUCUGGAGUAGGCUGGAGGGAGCUGUGUGAAAGCUCUGGUCAGGCUGCCUGGUGCAGGAGCAAUUGCAAGAAGGGAAAGCAGUAGCCAUUAGUGGGGACAAAGCACUGCUCUGGGGCUACCCAUUGUUGUGACUAUCUGUGCCUGCUGCUCCUGCUAUACACACUAGAACUGAGUAGCUAAACAGUCCUGGCAGGGCUGGAUCAAAAUGCUGCUUUUCCAAAUAGCAAAGACACCAACUUCAUAUGCUCCAACUUAAUCCUCUCGUCCAAACUGCAUCAGUGUUGCGAUUGAUAAUGAAAAAGACAUCACAAAAGCUGUGGCAGAUCUUUCAAAUGACUGCAUGAUAACCCUAAGGGACUUCACUGGGAUGGACGAUUGCCGAUUGCCUCCUCAUUGUUCGUUACAAGAUGUCAAUACAAUCAAUCCACAGCCAGCUGAUGGGAAGAAUGAAAUGUCCACUGGAGACUUAGACCCACAAUGGGCAGCCAUGACAUUAUAGAUGUUCAUGUAUUUUGUAACUGACUUUGCUUUGGGGGUGCCUUAAACUGGAAGAAGAAAUUAUCUUGUCUAACAAGGACAGUUGAAAAUACAUAGAUUGUAGCCAAGUACUCAGGAGGCAGAGUUAGGUAGAUCUCUGUGAGUUUGAGUCCAGCCUGGUCUACAGAGCGAGUUCCAUGGCAACCAGGGCGACACAGAGAAACCCUGUCUCAAACAAAUAAACAGACAAACAAAAAAGAAAAGAAAAAGAAAAUAUACUGAUGGUGAUGGGUAGCCUCAACUGGAGAACUGUCCUGAUUGCCUCAACUGAUAAGGGAAGAGCCCUAAGUGUAGACCCCACCUUCUGGUAACUAUUUGCCUUUUGCUGUGUUGGAGUCUGUCAAAAGACCCUCACUCACAAAGACCACAGAGAUCACCAUUGCAAACCGCAAGAGGAUUUUUUUUUAAUUGCUCCAACACGUUGGGGACCCCCCUCAGCACGCAGGCAAGAGGAGAGACCCAGAACAAAGAAAGAACACACUUUUUAUAUCUUGUAAGGGGCAGACUUAGGCAACAGAGUAGCUGGCUUAUUCUAAUUGGUGUAGCAAGUAACCCUUUCAGGCAUUGGUUGUUGUCUUCAGACACACCAGAAGAGGGAGUUAGAUCUCAUUAUGGGUGAAUGUGAGCCACCAUGUGGUUGCUAGGAUUUGAACUCAGGACUAUCAGAAGAGCAGUCAGUGCUCUUACCCGCUGAGCCAUCUUACCAUCCCAACUUUUACAUUUUUAAGAAAUUUAUUUCAUGUGUAUGGGUGUUUUGCUCGUACAUAUGUUUGUAUACUAUGUGUGUGCCUGAUGCCAGAAGAGACCAGAAGAGGGAAUUGGAUUCCCUGGGACUGAAAUUACUGAUAGUUGUGAGCUGGGAAUUGAACCAGGAGUUUCUGGAAGGGUAGCCAAUGCUUUUAACCCCUGAGCCUGGACAUGUCUAACUGCUAAAAAAAAACCGCAUAGCUUUGUUCGUCAGUUACAACCUGCAGCCUGUAGUUACUCUGGUCUCUGCAAGUAAAUUUCAGCCUGGAUAUUAGUGGUUACUUAGGGGUUUUUUAAAGACGAAGACUCAGUAGCAUCAACCACUAUGUGGAGUUGGAAGCUAUGAGGCGUGUUCCCAGGACCUGCACAGCAUCACAGUAGUUGCUGAUUAGACAGGAGUAUGAAUAUUAGCGCCUCCUGACACAGACCAUGUGGCCUUCGUUGCACUAGGAAAUUGGACGGGGUUGGCUAGCUCUUUCCAUGCAGGGGAGCCGGUGCUGAACUGGAAUGUGAUGGACGGCACAACAAAGACCCGCCGAGAAAUUCAUCACAGGAGGAAGCUAAGGAGGACGUUUGGCUCCCUAGUGAAUCUGGCCCUUUUCCUUGACCUCUCUACAGUGUAUAAAUCAUGUUUGCAAAAUAUAUUGUGACAAGUUUAUAGUCUGUCGUUUAUAUACUACAUAGCUAUAAAAACAAACGGGAGAAGAUGCUGAAAGGAGGAAGGACCCUGUUGGUUUGGUUUUUGUUUGUUUGUAUGACUGGUUGGUUUGGGAUUUGUUUGAUUUUUUUUUCCAUUUCUACCAUGGGAAAGAGUAAACAUAAAUGUACAUUGAAAAGUUGCAUUAUACAACAAGACAAGGAGUCAGGA
rnacentral:lncRNA from 1 species